rnacentral:rRNA from 1 species
AUUGAACGCUGGCGGCAGGCCUAACACAUGCAAGUCGAGCGAGCGGCGGACGGGUGAGGAAUGUCUGGGAAACUGCCUGAUGGAGGGGGAUAACUACUGGAAACGGUAGCUAAUACCGCAUACCAUCAGAUGUGCCCAGAUGGGAUUAGCUGGUAGGUGGGGUAACGUCUCACCUAGGCGACGAUGCCUAGCUGGUCUGAGAGGAUGACCCGCCACACGGGAACGGAGAUACGGUCCAGACUCCUACGGGAGGCAGCAGUGGGGAAUAUUGGACAAUGGGCGCAAGCCUGAUGCGGCCAUGCCGCGGGUGUGAAGAAGGCCUUCGGGUUGUAAAGCACUUUCAGCGGGGAGGCGUUACCCGCAGAAGAAGCACCGGCUAACUCCGUGCCAGCAGCCGCGGUAAUAC